UACGUGGCACUUACGUGGCGGGUUGACUUCCACGUGACGUUUAUGUGGCACUAAAAUAAAAAUAAAUGUAAAUGGGAUCCACAUGUCAGUGAGUAAAACAAUAAAAUAAAUUAUUGGGCCCACAUGCCAGUUACCUUUCUCCUUCCUCUUUAUCCUCACAGUGAGCGAGAUGGCGGCGGCAGGACGGCGGGAGCUUAGCGGGAGCAACGGGGCGGCGAGACCGCCGGAGGCGGGAGCCCGGUGGAGCGGCAGGAUGCCGGUGACGCCGAGGACAUGUGCCGCCGACCAACGCCACACCCGCGAGAUCGUCCACCAGCGGGGAGGGAGAAGAAGAGGCGGCGGCGAGGUCGAUGAGGCCGUCUCGCCGCUGCCGGGCUCACAGAGCUGUCUCCAUCUCGCUCGCCGUGAGAAUAAAGAGGAAGGAGAAAGUGCCACAUAAGCGCCACAUCGAUGCCAUAUGGGAAGUCAACCCGCCACGUAAGUGCCACGUAGGACAAAACCGCCGAGGAAGGUGAUUUGCUCUGGUUUCAGAGAAGAAGGAGGCAUUAUACCCGGUUUUCCGGUUGAGGGAUGUUAUUCACGCAAGCGCAACAGAUGAGGGAGGUAAAAUGGACUUAUUCCAAUACCAAAUAAUUUUGGAGCAACGUUGGCAUCCAGGGACCAGGGCUGGGCCACACGCGCAGAACACCACGGACCAUCACCUGCCACAGGGCCCACAACGGCACAACCUCGUAGGGCCGUAGGGCUGGGCUGCAGCAUGGCCCGUCUUGCGGCCCAACGCCAUCGGGCCGCUGCGCACCGAUCCCCGAUCCAGACGGACCCAACGAUGUCAUUGUAAAUGGCAUUUUUACAUGAUCGCUGAUGUUCUCUCUUUAUGCUAUUGUGCUAUGGAAAUGGAAGGAAAUGGUAGUUCUUGUGGAGCUAUUGUUUAAGAAAGAUAGGAAAACGCUUCAGAUCGGUCGUCCGGGCGGAACCAAAACAUCGGACAAACUUGUAAGAUGCUGAUUCCAGAAAUGCUUAUAAUUAGCCGUCUGAUGAAAAUUUAACCA